rnacentral:rRNA from 1 species
UUACGGAAGGCAGCAGUGGGGAAUCUUGCGCAAUGCGCGAAAGCGUGACGCAGCAACGCCGCGUGGGGGAAGAAGGCUUUCGGGUUGUAAACCCCUUUCAGUUGGGACGAAGCUUCGCCGAUGAAUAGUCGGCUGGAGUGACGGUACCUACACAAGAAGCACCGGCUAACUACGUGCCAGCAGCCGCGGUAAUACGUAGGGUGCAAGCGUUGUCCGGAAUUAUUGGGCGUAAAGAGCGUGUAGGCGGCCCGAUUAGUCCGCUGUGAAAGUCCAGGGCUCAACCCUGGAAUGCCGGUGGAUACUGUCGGGCUAGAGUCCGGAAGGGGCGAGUGGAAUUCCUGGUGUAGCAGUGAAAUGCGCAGAUAUCAGGAGGAACACCAAUGGCGAAGGCAGCUCGCUGGGACGUGACUGACGCUGAGACGCGAAAGCGUGGGGAGCAAACAGGAUUAGAUACCCUAGUAC